CGUGGGUAACCUGCCCUUUGGUGGGGAAUAACUCUGGGAAACUGGGGCUAAUGCCGCAUCAGCUCUUUGUCCCUGCGGGGACUUAGAGGAAAGCAUGCCUCUGCUUCAAGCAUGCGCCAGAGGAGGGGCCCGCGUCCCAUUAGCUUGUUGGUGGGGUAAUGGCCUACCAAGGCGACGAUGGGUAGCCGGCCUGAGAGGGUGUCCGGCCACACUGGGACUGAGACACGGCCCAG
rnacentral:rRNA from 1 species